rnacentral:rRNA from 1 species
AUUGAACGCUAGCGGGAUGCCUUACACAUGCAAGUCGAACGGAGUGGCGAACGGGUGAGUAAUGUAUCGGAACGUGCCAAGUAGCGGGGGAUAACUACGAGAAAGCGUAGCUAAUACCGCAUACUAUUGGAGCGGCAGAUAUCGGAUUAGCUAGUUGGGGGGGUAAAGGCUCACCAAUGCGACGAUCCGUAGCUGGUUUGAGAGGACGACCAGCCACACUGGUACUGGGCCACGGCCCAGACUCCUACGGGAGGCAGCAGUGGGGAAUGUUGGACAAUGGGGGAAACCCUGAUCCAGCCAUCCCGCGUGUGCGAUGAAGGCCUUCGGUUUGUAAAGCACUUUUGGCAGGAAAGCGGUACCUGCAGAAUAAGCACCGGCUAACUACGUGCCAGCAGCCGCGGUAAUUC